CCCUUAGAUGUUCUGGGCCGCACGCGCGCUACACUGAAGGGAUCAGCGUGUUUUCCCUUUCCGAGAGGAACGGGUAACCCGCUGAACCCCCUUCGUGGUAGGGAUCGGAGCUUGCAAUUGUUCUCCGUGAACCAGGAAUUCCCAGUAAGCGCAAGUCAUAAGCUUGCGUUGAUUACGUCCCUGCCCUUUGUACACACCGCCCGUCGCUACUACCGAUUGAACGUUUUAGUGAGGUAUUUGGACUGGGCCUUGGGAGGUUUCGGCCUCCCUUGUUGCUCGGAAAGACUCCCAAACUUGUGCGUUUAGAGGAAGUAAAAGUCGUAACA
rnacentral:rRNA from 1 species